GAUGAACGCUGGCGGCGUGCCUAAUACAUGCAAGUCGAGCGAACGGACGAGAAGCUUGCUUCUCUUAUGUUAGCGGCGGACGGGUGAGUAACACGUGGAUAACCUACCUAUAAGACUGGGAUAACUUCGGGAAACCGUAGCUAAUACCGGAUAAUAUUUUGAACCGCAUGGUUCAAAAGUGAAAGACGGUCUUGCUGUCACUUAUAGAUGGAUUCGCGUUGCAUUAGAUAUUUGGUAAGGUAACGGCUUACCAAGGCAACGAUGCAUAGCCGACCUGAGAGGGUGAUCGGCAACAAUGGACCGGAGAACCGGUCCAGACUCCAACGGGAGGCAGCAGUGGGGAAUCUUCCACAAUGGGCGAACGCCUGACGGAGCAACGCCGAGUGAGUGAUGAAGGUCUUCGGAUCGUAAAACUCUGUUAUUAGGGAAGAACAGAUGUGUAAGUAACUGUGCACAUCUUGACGGUACCUAAUCAGAAAGCCACGGCUAACUACGUG
rnacentral:rRNA from 1 species